rnacentral:rRNA from 1 species
UACGAAGGGGGCUAGCGUUGCUCGGAAUCACUGGGCGUAAAGCGUGCGUAGGCGGUUUUGUAAGUAAGAAGUGAAAGCCUGGGGCUUAACCUCAGAAUUGCUUUUUAGACUGCAAAACUGGAGUACUGGAGAGGUUAGUGGAAUUCCGAGUGUAGAGGUGAAAUUCGCAGAUAUUCGGAGGAACACCAGUGGCGAAGGCGACUAACUGGACAGUAACUGACGCUGAGGCACGAAAGCGUGGGGAUCAAACAGG